AUACGAAGGGGGCUAGCGUUGUUCGGAAUCACUGGGCGUAAAGCGCGUGUAGGCGGAUCGUUAAGUCGGGGGUGAAAUCCUGAGGCUCAACCUCAGAACUGCCUUCGAUACUGGCGAUCUUAGAGUCCGGGAGAGGUGAGUGGAACUCCUAGUGUAGAGGUGAAAUUCGUAGAUAUUAGGAAGAACACCAGUGGCGAAGGCGGCUCACUGGCCCGGUACUGACGCUGAUAUGCGAAAGCGUGGGGAGCAAACAGGAUUAGAUACCCUGGUAGUCCACGCCGUAAACUAUGAAUGCUAGCCGUCGGACAGCUUGCUGUUCGGUGGCGCACCUAACGGAUUAAGCAUUCCGCCUGGGGAGUACGGUCGCAAGAUUAAA
rnacentral:rRNA from 1 species